rnacentral:rRNA from 1 species
CCUACGGGUGGCAGCAGUGAGGAAUAUUGGUCAAUGGGCGAGAGCCUGAACCAGCCAAGCCGCGUGAAGGAUGAAGGAUCUAUGGUUUGUAAACUUCUUUUAUAUGGGAAUAAAGUGAGGAACGUGUUCCUGUUUGUAUGUACAAUAUGAAUAAGGAUCGGCUAACUCCGUGCCAGCAGCCGCGGUAAUACGGAGGAUGCGAGCCUUAUCCGGAUUUAUUGGGUGUAAAGGGUGCGUAGGGGGUUAAUUAAGUCAGCGGUGAAAUGUUGUGGCUCAACCCUAAAAUUGCAGUUGAAACUGGUUGACUUGAGUAUAUUUGAGGUAAGCGGAAUUCUCGGUGUAGCGGUGAAAUGCAUAGAUAUCGCGCAGAACACCGAUGGCGAAGGCAGCUUACUAGACUAUAACUGACGCUGAGGCACGAAAGCGUGGGGAUCAAACAGGAUUAGAUACCCCUGUAGUC